GUGCCAGCCGCCGCGGUAAUACGGAGGGUGCAAGCGUUAAUCGGAAUUACUGGGCGUAAAGCGCACGCAGGCGGUCUGUCAAGUCGGAUGUGAAAUCCCCGGGCUCAACCUGGGAACUGCAUUCGAAACUGGCAGGCUGGAGUCUUGUAGAGGGGGGUAGAAUUCCAGGUGUAGCGGUGAAAUGCGUAGAGAUCUGGAGGAAUACCGGUGGCGAAGGCGGCCCCCUGGACAAAGACUGACGCUCAGGUGCGAAAGCGUGGGGAGCAAACAGGAUUAGAUACCCUGGUAGUCCACGCCGUAAACGAUGUCGAUUUGGAGGUUGUGCCCUUGAGGCGUGGCUUCCGGAGCUAACGCGUUAAAUCGACCGCCUGGGGAGUACGGCCGCAAGGUUAAAACUCAAAUGAAUUGACGGGGGCCCGCACAAGCGGUGGAGCAUGUGGUUUAAUUCGAUGCAACGCGAAGAACCUUACCUGGUCUUGACAUCCACAGAAUUCGGCAGAGAUGCCUUAGUGCCUUCGGGAACCGUGAGACAGGU
rnacentral:rRNA from 1 species